rnacentral:other from 1 species
GGUCCUCUUACAGCAACCAAACAAACGUAUCCUACAAAACUUAAAUGUCUGGAAUAGAUAAUGCACAUACCCAGGGGACCUG